rnacentral:rRNA from 1 species
UUACGGGAGGCAGCAGUGAGGAAUUUUCCACAAUGGGCGAAAGCCUGAUGGAGCGACGCCGCGUGAAGGAUGAAGGUUUUCGGACUGUAAACUUCUUUUAUUGCAGAAGAUUAUGACUGUAUGCAAUGAAUAAGCACCGGCUAACUACGUGCCAGCAGCCGCGGUAAUACGUAGGGUGCAAGCGUUAUCCGGAAUUACUGGGCGUAAAGAGUUUGUAGGCGGAUUUUUAAGUCGAGUGUUAAAUAUGCGGGCUCAACUCGUAUGCUGCACUCGAUACUGGAAGUCUUGAGAGUGGAAGAGGUAAGCGGAAUUUCCGGUGGAGCGGUAAAAUGCGUAGAUAUCGGAAAGAACACCAAUGGCGAAGGCAGCUUACUGGGCCAUUUCUGACGCUGAGAAACGAAAGCGUGGGGAGCGAUCGGGAUUAGAAACCCGGGUAGUCCA